CACGUAGGGCGCAAGCGUUGUCCGGAAUUAUUGGGCGUAAAGAGCUCGUAGGCGGUCUGUUACGUCAUGCCGUGUGAAAACCCAGGGCUUAACCCUGGGCUUGCAGUGGAUACGGGCAGACUAGAGGCAGGUAGGGGAGAAUGGAAUUCCCGGUGUAGCGGUGAAAUGCGCAGAUAUCGGGAGGAACACCGGUGGCGAAGGCGGUUCUCUGGGCCUGACCUGACGCUGAGGAGCGAAAGCGUGGGGAGCGAACAGG
rnacentral:rRNA from 1 species